UACGGGGGGGCAAGCGUUGUUCGGAAUUACUGGGCGUAAAGGGCUCGUAGGCGGCCAACUAAGUCAUACGUGAAAUCCCUCGGCUUAACCGGGGAACUGCGUCUGAUACUGGAUGGCUUGAGUUCGGGAGAGGGAUGCGGAAUUCCAGGUGUAGCGGUGAAAUGCGUAGAUAUCUGGAGGAACAUCGGUGGCGAAGGCGGCAUCCUGGACCGAUACUGACGCUGAGGAGCGAAAGCCAGGGGAGCAAACGGG
rnacentral:rRNA from 1 species